GGUCCGAAUAUCGACAUCGUUAAAAAGAGACAGAGAGUUGUUAGGUUGGUCAUGGGAGAAAUAGUAAUAUGAUAAUACCCGAUAACGAAAUUUUUAUAUUAAAAUAUUUUAAUUAUUCUUGUUAGUAAUUAAAAUAUUGAAUUUCGUUUAAUUUCUUAUAAUGGUUUUUCAAUGUGUCAUUCGUUCGUGCAAAACAAAAUCAAAUAAAGAUUGCAUCAUGCAUCGCUGGCCUAGAAAUCAUGAAAUGCUUUUAAAAUGGGCAAAUGCGAUACGUAUGUUUCAACCAGAUUUUACUCCGGCGACGCAUACAAAAAUAUGCAGUAGUCAUUUUAUAGAAUCUGACUAUAACAGAUAACUUGAGCUUAACUGGUAAAAAAAUGUUAAAAAAAGAAGCUGUGCCAAGUGUAUUUAAACUGGAAGCAUGUAAGAAAUUAUUCAAUGUUGAAAUGGUCGAAGUCUUUGGUGAUGAAGAAGGAAGAAAUUUACUAUAAAUGCCAAUGGAUGAAGAAGAUAUUAAAAAAUCUGACAUCUGAUCAUCUAAAAGAUGAAAAGAAAGUUAAUGAAAAUUGUUUUUCAUUACUCAAGUUAUUGCUGUAUGUGUUAAAUGGCUUGGUUGAUAAGGUUACGUUCAGUGUUCAAUGUUCUAUGGAUUUGUUACCAAAGACAGGGCUUGGAUUUUAUGCAAUCCUGACAUCCAAUCAUGAAUUUAAGUAUCGUUGAUCCGUAUCCUUUUACUGUAAUAUUAAUGGCUCAUCACAAAAAAUAUUCUCCUCCUUUAUCUUUUUACACUACAUGGUUAACUACUAUAUAUUUUAUAUGUUCUUCACAAAAUAAUUUUUAAAAAUUUCAUUGUACGUCUUAAUUGUCAAUUUUUAUCCACCUAAAAUAUUUCUAAUAAGAACCAUUGAUAUUAAAACUGAUUCUAUCUCAAACAUUUUUAUCAUUAUUGCAAUGACUGUGUGUAUUAAUUUGUUAUUUUUCAGUAAAAUGUGAUGUCAUAUCCAUGGCUUUUAUAGAUAUAUUUAAAUAUCUAUGAACAGUUUCAUUGAGGAACAAAACCAAAUGGACCGUUGUGUAUUGUUAACAGUUUCACUCGUAAUACAAUUUUAUUUAGCGAUGAAGAACAUUUUUCUAAAUAUAAUAUUUAUUUACUCGUUUUAAUAAUGUAUGAAUAGCAUAACUUCUUUGAAUUUUUUAGUGAAAUCAAAAUGAUGUUGGGGCUUUGUGUUUAUAUGUUUAUAUUUUUUAAAUAAAAAAUAUACUAUUGGUGAU